CACUCCUGCGGGAGGCAGCAGUGGGGAAUUUUGGACAAUGGGCGAAAGCCUGAUCCAGCAAUGCCGCGUGCAGGAUGAAGGCCUUCGGGUUGUAAACUGCUUUUGUACGGAACGAAAAAGCUCCUUCUAAUACAGGGGGCCCAUGACGGUACCGUAAGAAUAAGCACCGGCUAACUACGUGCCAGCAGCCGCGGUAAUACGUAGGGUGCGAGCGUUAAUCGGAAUUACUGGGCGUAAAGCGUGCGCAGGCGGUUAUGUAAGACAGAUGUGAAAUCCCCGGGCUCAACCUGGGAACUGCAUUUGUGACUGCAUGGCUAGAGUACGGUAGAGGGGGAUGGAAUUCCGCGUGUAGCAGUGAAAUGCGUAGAUAUGCGGAGGAACACCGAUGGCGAAGGCAAUCCCCUGGACCUGUACUGACGCUCAUGCACGAAAGCGUGGGGAGCAAACAGGAUUAGAAACCCCAGUAGUCCCA
rnacentral:rRNA from 1 species